GUGGCGUAACACAUUUGCACAAUUGUUGCUGGUUUAAUUGCCAUCAGCCUCGGGCGGCUGUUCUUUUCCAGUGUUUCCAGAUGAGGGACGGAGGGCUGGAGGUGGAGUCACUCUCCUGAGUCAUUCAGAUUUCCACCAAGUCCCACGGCCUUCCCGCUGCCUCGGGCUCCGGUGCCCCUCCCCCGCUUGGCUUUUCUUGCUGUGGAAACCAAGGCCCGGCCCGGGCGCGCCGUGUGACCGUGUGACUCGUGGCCCGCUCUGCGUGCCGAGUGGAGGCGCCCGGCUGGGCCCUGCGCCGCCGGCCGGGGGGAGUCAGGGGCCCGGCGCCCCCUUUGCCUCCCGCCUCUGCCGGUCCUCUCUUCCUGGCCCCAUCACCCCUCCACCCCGGUGACAGAAGCCAGCCCGUCUCUCUUCCGGAACAUUCGGGUCACCUGUGACCACUUCCUCAUCCGUGUUCCGGAGCUCGUCUACGUGCUGGCUGCGGAUGGCCUCCUCUUACACAACCUUGCACGCGGCCCGCCCGGCCCGGAACAAACCCGUCACAGUCCAGGGCCUGCAGGGCCGGGUGCCCCAGAGUGCGGCCAGCGGGCGCGGGCGGGGAUUGGCUGGACGGGCACCGCUGCUCCGGCUUCCACGCCCUUGAUUGGCUCCUGCUGCAGUAGUGAGCUGGGGACGGGUCUUCGUAGGGAGACGGUUGUAACAGAGCAGUGGAGAGACGGGCUGGCGGUAGCAAGACAACACUUGGAAGUUACUAGCCAGAGGAAGUCAUCAGACAAGGUGGACAAACCGGCAAGCUAGAACCUUCCACAGGCACUCAGAAGCCACUCAGGAGGCUGAGAUCUGAGGAUCCACAGUUCAAAG